rnacentral:rRNA from 1 species
AACGAACGCUGGCGGCAUGCCUAACACAUGCAAGUCGAACGAGACCUUCGGGUCUAGUGGCGCACGGGUGCGUAACGCGUGGGAACCUGCCCUUAGGUUCGGCAUAACUCCCCGAAAGGGGUGCUAAUACCGGAUAAUGUCUUCGGACCAAAGAUUUAUCGCCUUUGGAUGGGCCCGCGUUGGAUUAGCUAGUUGGUAGGGUAAAAGCCUACCAAGGCGACGAUCCAUAGCUGGUCUGGGAGGAGGAUCAGCCACACUGGGACUGAGACACGGCCCAGACUCCUACGGGAGGCAGCAGUGGGGAAUAUUGGACGAUGGGCGAAGGCCUGAUCCAGCAAUGCCGCGUAAGUGAUGAAGGCCUUAGGGUUGUAAAGCUCUUUUACCCGGGAUGAUAAUGACAGUACCGGGAGAAUAAGCUCCGGCUAACUCCGUG